rnacentral:lncRNA from 1 species
GAUUUAAUUUUAAUAUUAGCAUGUUUGUGUCGCCGGUGGGGGAGAGGCGAAUAGCAUGUUAAUUGUAUAACCAUGAUUAUUUGUGUUGAGCAUGAUUUAAUUUUAAUAUUAGCAUGCUUGUAUCGCCGGUGGGGGAGAGGCGAUUUUGUGUUGGACUCAGUUUGAAUUUUAUUGAACUAUUUUUUAUGUUGUUGGUGGAUGGUGAUGAAUUUGGAGAUUUGGGAAAUUUGAGAGCUUAGUAGAUUAUAAUUGUUUGAACAAUAUUCAGGAUGAGUUUUAACCGGGAAUGGAUGUAUACACCUAUCCCAGAGCUUGAGAUGCAUACGUAUGAAAUCCUUAAAUUAAGUUAUCACAAAUUCAUCUUUAUGUAUCUAUACUUAAUGAUUAACUUAUAAAGUUUUUAUUAACUACAAAAACAAGCCCAAGUGACUGCCAAGGCUGCAGAGCUAUCUCAAUCUCGGUCAAAUGAUGGCUCUGAGCCUUAGGAGGUAGACAUGAACAGGUUACUACUGGAUGCAGUUGGAGGCGUAUCGGUGAAGAAGCGAGUUUUUGGGAUUGGUUCAUGUUCUCAUGCUUACACCUCCACCUCUAGAUCCAACCAAGGAGCCAGUUUUAGCUCACAGCCUCAGCUUGAUGCAGUUUUAGCCGAUAAGAUGAAGGAGUACGAGGCCGGAAGCUCAGAUGCAGGCUAAGAUGGAGGCUAGAGAGGCGCAGAUACGAGAGGAGGCACAAGCUAGAGAGGCUCAUAUGCAUGCAGACGUACAGGCACAGUUGCAGGCACAGCAAGCCGAGUUCAUGAAGAUGCUAGCUGAGAUGAGGAAUCAACCACCCCCUUGAUUAUGUUUGUUUUAGGAACUUGAAUUUAUUUUGCUAGGUGCUAACUUAACUAGAAUUUGGAUUGUUAGAUACUUUGUUGAUUAUCGUUGACUGCUGGUUAUAUUUUAAAGUUUAUCUAUUAUGUUGAAUGAUGAAAGUAUUAGAAUACAGGUAAAUAACAAAAUUGAAAAAAAACAAAAUUGGGAAUUUUAGCGAAAGAAAUUCUGUCUACAAAAUAAAAAUAAAAAAAAUAAAAAAAAUGAAAAAAAAUCUAACGACGGAAAUUCCGUCUCAAAAGAACGGCGGCGACGUCGGAAAGUGAUCGUUGGAAAAUCUAACGACGGAAUCCUUUCUGUCUCAACUAGAGAAGGAAUUUUCGUCUCUGUUUCCGUCUCAAAAUUUGGUCAAUACAGACGACCACCAGUUGGGUAGAGACGGAAUUUUCG